rnacentral:rRNA from 1 species
UCGAGAGGCUUCGGCAAUGGGGGAAACCCUGACCGAGCGACGCCGCGUGAAGGAUGAAGGCCCUUGGGUUGUAAACUUCUUUUGUCAGCGAAGAAAUGCGAUCAGGUGAAUAAUCUGGUCGCUUGACGGUAGCUGACGAAUAAGCUCCGGCUAACUCCGUGCCAGCAGCCGCGGUAACACGGGGGGAGCAAGCGUUGUUCGGAAUCACUGGGCGUAAAGGGCGUGUAGGCGGUCAGAUAAGUGAGAUGUG